rnacentral:lncRNA from 1 species
GCUCAGUAACCAUGCUUAGGAGUUGGGUGGAAUGGGUUGUCAUGACUUCUGGUUUCUGUCCUGCCUUUUCUUUUAGGAUGUGAGUUAUCUUGGCUGAAACUGAAGAAUGAAACAAUGCAGGUGCAGUUUGGAACCAUCUAAGAUAGCCAUUCAGGUGUGUGUAGCUGAAGAUGGCAAGGUUGAGGCCUCGUGAAUGAGCUUGCAUGAAACCAGAACUGAUGAAGUUGUUUUGGGAGCAACUCUAGCACACUUCCUUUUGCUUAUGAUUCUAUGGUGUGAUUAGAAGAAGAGAAUUCUUAGAAAGCGAACAAGGCAGCCAG